rnacentral:rRNA from 1 species
UACGGAGGAUGCAAGCGUUAUCCGGAAUGAUUGGGCGUAAAGCGUCCGCAGGUGGCUGUGUAAGUCUGCUGUUAAAGAGUGAGGCUCAACCUCAUAAAGGCAGUGGAAACUACAUGGCUAGAGUGCGUUCGGGGCAGAGGGAAUUCCUGGUGUAGCGGUGAAAUGCGUAGAGAUCAGGAAGAACACCGGUGGCGAAGGCAGCCCCCUGGGCUGAGAUUGACGCUCAGGCACGAAAGCGUGGGGAGCAAACAGG